rnacentral:rRNA from 1 species
UACGGUGGGGGCAAGCGUUGUUCGGAAUUACUGGGCGUAAAGGGCUCGUAGGCGGCCAACUAAGUCGGACGUGAAAUCCCCAGGCUCAACCUGGGAACUGCGUCCGAUACUGGAUGGCUUGAAUUCGGGAGAGGGAUGCAGAAUUCCAGGUGUAGCGGUGAAAUGCGUAGAUAUCUGGAGGAAUACCGGUGGCGAAGGCGGCAUCCUGGACCGACAUUGACGCUGAGGAGCGAAAGCUAGGGGAGCAAACGGG